rnacentral:rRNA from 1 species
GGUGAAAAGCACCCCGGAAGGGGAGUGAAAUAGAACCUGAAACCGUGUGCUUACAAGUAGUCAGAGCCCGUUAAUGGGUGAUGGCGUGCCUUUUGUAGAAUGAACCGGCGAGUUACGAUUUGAUGCAAGGUUAAGCAGUAAAUGUGGAGCCGUAGCGAAAGCGAGUCUGAAUAGGGCGUUUAGUAUUUGGUCGUAGACCCGAAACCAGGUGAUCUACCCUUGGUCAGGUUGAAGUUCAGGUAACACUGAAUGGAGGACCGAACCGACUUACGUUGAAAAGUGAGCGGAUGAACUGAGGGUAGCGGAGAAAUUCCAAUCGAACCUGGAGAUAGCUGGUUCUCUCCGAAAUAGCUUUAGGGCUAGCCUCAAGUGAUGAUUAUUGGAGGUAGAGCACUGUUUGGACGAGGGGCCCCUCUCGGGUUACCGAAUUCAGACAAACUCCGAAUGCCAAUUAAUUUAACUUGGGAGUCAGAACAUGGGUGAUAAGGUCCGUGUUCGAAAGGGAAACAGCCCAGACCACCAGCUAAGGUCCCAAAAUAUAUGUUAAGUGGAAAAGGAUGUGGCGUUGCCCAGACAACUAGGAUGUUGGCUUAGAAGCAGCCAUCAUUUAAAGAGUGCGUAAUAGCUCACUAGUCGAGUGACACUGCGCCGAAAAUGUACCGGGGCUAAACAUAUUACCGAAGCUGUGGAUUGUCCUUUGGACAAUGGUAGGAGAGCGUUCUAAGGGCGUUGAAGCAUGAUCGUAAGGACAUGUGGAGCGCUUAGAAGUGAGAAUGCCGGUGUGAGUAGCGAAAGACGGGUGAGAAUCCCGUCCACCGAUUGACUAAGGUUUCCAGAGGAAGGCUCGUCCGCUCUGGGUUAGUCGGGUCCUAAGCUGAGGCCGACAGGCGUAGGCGAUGGAUAACAGGUUGAUAUUCCUGUACCACCUAUAAUCGUUUUAAUCGAUGGGGGGACGCAGUAGGAUAGGCGAAGCGUGCGAUUGGAUUGCACGUCUAAGCAGUAAGGCUGAGUAUUAGGCAAAUCCGGUACUCAUUAAGGCUGAGCUGUGAUGGGGAGAAGACAUUGUGUCUUCGAGUCGUUGAUUUCACACUGCCGAGAAAAGCCUCUAGAUAGAAAAUAGGUGCCCGUACCGCAAACCGACACAGGUAGUCAAGAUGAGAAUUCUAAGGUGAGCGAGCGAACUCUCGUUAAGGAACUCGGCAAAAUGACCCCGUAACUUCGGGAGAAGGGGUGCUCUUUAGGGUUAACGCCCAGAAGAGCCGCAGUGAAUAGGCCCAAGCGACUGUUUAUCAAAAACACAGGUCUCUGCUAAACCGUAAGGUGAUGUAUAGGGGCUGACGCCUGCCCGGUGCUGGAAGGUUAAGAGGAGUGGUUAGCUUCUGCGAAGCUACGAAUCGAAGCCCCAGUAAACGGCGGCCGUAACUAUAACGGUCCUAAGGUAGCGAAAUUCCUUGUCGGGUAAGUUCCGACCCGCACGAAAGGCGUAACGAUUUGGGCACUGUCUCAACGAGAGACUCGGUGAAAUCAUAGUACCUGUGAAGAUGCAGGUUACCCGCGACAGGACGGAAAGACCCCGUGGAGCUUUACUGUAGCCUGAUAUUGAAAUUCGGCACAGCUUGUACAGGAUAGGUAGGAGCCUUUGAAACGUGAGCGCUAGCUUACGUGGAGGCGCUGGUGGGAUACUACCCUAGCUGUGUUGGCUUUCUAACCCGCACCACUUAUCGUGGUGGGAGACAGUGUCAGGCGGGCAGUUUGACUGGGGCGGUCGCCUCCUAAAAGGUAACGGAGGCGCUCAAAGGUUCCCUCAGAAUGGUUGGAAAUCAUUCAUAGAGUGUAAAGGCAUAAGGGAGCUUGACUGCGAGACCUACAAGUCGAGCAGGGUCGAAAGACGGACUUAGUGAUCCGGUGGUUCCGCAUGGAAGGGCCAUCGCUCAACGGAUAAAAGCUACCCCGGGGAUAACAGGCUUAUCUCCCCCAAGAGUUCACAUCGACGGGGAGGUUUGGCACCUCGAUGUCGGCUCAUCGCAUCCUGGGGCUGUAGUCGGUCCCAAGGGUUGGGCUGUUCGCCCAUUAAAGCGGUACGCGAGCUGGGUUCAGAACGUCGUGAGACAGUUCGGUCCCUAUCCGUCGUGGGCGUAGGAAAUUUGAGAGGAGCUGUCCUUAGUACGAGAGGACCGGGAUGGACAUACCUCUGGUGUACCAGUUGUCGUGCCAACGGCAUAGCUGGGUAGCUAUGUGUGGACGGGAUAAGUGCUGAAAGCAUCUAAGCAUGAAGCCCCCCUCAAGAUGAGAUUUCCCAACUUCGGUUAUAAGAUCCCUCAAAGAUGAUGAGGUUAAUAGGUUCGAGGUGGAAGCAUGGUGACAUG